UACGAGGGGGGCGAGCGUUGUUCGGAAUUAUUGGGCGUAAAGGGUGCGUAGGCGGUUUGGCAAGUCUUGUGUGAAAUCUACAGGCUCAACUUGUAGUCUGCACGAGAAACUGCCGGGCUUGAGUGUGGGAGAGGUGAGUGGAAUUCCUGGUGUAGCGGUGAAAUGCGUAGAUAUCAGGAGGAACACCUGUGGCGAAAGCGGCUCACUGGACCAUAACUGACGCUGAUGCACGAAAGCUAGGGGAGCAAACAGG
rnacentral:rRNA from 1 species